rnacentral:lncRNA from 1 species
UCUCCACAGGGACUAGACGACGGUGACUAUGCUCUGGCUAAAGGUAGGUGACAGAAUUUAGUUGAUGAGAACAGAAAGUAAACCUAAACUAUCAAUGAUUGUCACCAAACAAAAUUGUGGAUAACCAACAAGGGAGAAUCAGAUUUUACUCAAUGUCUUUUUGGUAUUUUCAUCACACUUGAGAAUCUAAAACACUAACACAAAGGGGAAUAAUAUGACAAGGACACAUAUAUAACUAUCAUACAUGAACAAAGGGAAGAAACAAUACAAAGACAUAUGAAGAAUACUGUUUCACUAAACAAAGUAUAACAGGUCAAAUAUUUCUCAAAGUGACAAGAUAUCAACUAGUCAACACAAAGGACAUACUAAUCAAGCAUUGAUAUUGAACUUCGAAACUGAACCAAACAGUAGGAUAUUACACUUAACAAAUCUGAAUAUUACAUGUAAUAAAACAUCUCAAUGCUGAAUAUUACAAAGUACUGAACAAUAAACUUCUCAAAGUUACAGAAAUUUGAGAGAGAGAGAGAGAGCAGCAGCAGCAGGUAGGUUCAGAGAAGAAGAGUAGCAAGGGAAGUAGAGAGAGAUAGCAGCAGGGGGUUGGGAGCAGCAGCAGGAGACGCUGGAGAAGCAGAAAGGGGCGCUGGAGAGAGGAAGAGCAGCAACAGGUUGGGAAAGAAGCAGGGGCGUGAGGAGAGAAGCAGCAGCAGUUUUAUGGUUCAGAAAAGAGGCAAAGAAGCAGAGGAAGUGGGGAUAAGAGGGCAACAGCAGGAAGGGAAAGGGAGUAGCAGAGACGUGGAGAGGAGCAGCAGAUCGGCGCAAGAGGAGGAGCAAGAGCAGUGAGGCAAGGGAAGAAGAGCAGCAGCAUCGAGAUUCAGAGAAGAAGAAGGGGAGCAGAGGAAGUGGAGUAGCAGCAGUAGGGACGAGGGGGGAAGCAGCAGCAAUUGGAGGCGCGCGGGGGAUCAGACACCUCGUCUGGUCGGGCGCGCAAGUGAUGGUGGUGAAGGGGUGGCGCUGAUGGAUGGUGCAGCGGCGCGAGGUGGUGAUGGAGUGGAUGGAUGGUGGUGUAUGGAGGUGCUGGUGGAUGGAGGGCGCGGUGAAGGUGGAGGCGCGGUGGAGCGGUGGCGCGCCCCACGCCGGCCUGGCUGCAGCGGCAGCCGGUGGUGGAGAAGGUGGGGUGAGGGAGAUGGAGAUGCCAGGCCCGAUUUGGGAAUCAGGGCGUCUAGGGAUUUUGACCUCCUCUGAUCUGCCAUUUUUUCACUUUGGCCCUCCUGCUUCCUUUCUUCUCAAGAUGAUCCUCCAACAUUAGCUUGCCCCUGGAUACUUCUUUUCUUCUCGCUCGGGUCCCUCGUUCUCUCGUUCCAGCCCCAAGUCUCAUCGCGUUUGGCAAUCGACUGAAUCUUGAAGUUUAUAGUGCCUUCUCGCACUUUUCUGCAAAAGAAACAAUUCACUAGUCAACAUGCUCUUAUAUGAUUAUCAUUCAAAUAUUCAGUAUUUCAUAGCAAAAAUUAAUGUCAGAACUCAACAAAUGGUAUAUUUGUAUGCCAAAAUUAUAUAUAUGAAAUGUGCUUAUCAAGUUCCCCCACACUUAAAUCUUUACUUGUCCUCAAGUAAAGGCAUAUGACAAGAGCUAGACAGUCAACAGUGAGCUGACUGGAGAAUGCCAAGUGAAGUAGAUCUCUAAACAAUGCAUGCUUUGGACUUAGCUAGUGCAAAUCAAUGGUCAAGAGUGCUACAAAGCAAUAGGAUACUAGUAGACUCAAUCAUUUUAAACUUUUACAAUGAUAAAAGUGGAUCAACAAGUUCAAAUGAUGAUUGUGCCAAAGGUUCCUAAAGAGAGCAUGAUCCCGAGCACAAAAAAGAACAUAAACUUGUGAUCAAAUCACUUAUUUACAGAAGUAAAGCAAUGAUAAUAUUUUAUCGAUCUCACCAAAGGAACAUACCACCGAUCCCGAGAACAUGGUAUACACCUGGAUCGACCAAUUAUUAGUUUAGUUUUUUUUGUUUGUCUCCCCAAAGGAACAUACCACCGAUCCCGAGAACAUGGUAUACACCUGGUUCGACAAUUACAUUUUUUUAUUAUUAAUUACUGCCCAAGCUAACCCGAUUUCACAUGCCACCGAUCCCAGGAACAUGACAUGCUACUGUAGGUAGUCAGACUUAUUUAUUCAUUAUUACUUAUCUUAAAUGAACAACGCAUAAGCACAAAAAUAGGAAUCAUCACUUCUCCAUGUCUGGUUCACAUGCUACCGAUCCAGGGAACAUAGCAUACUAAUCCAUAGUGCUUAGGUGAUUGCUCUCAAUGGGAACACAUUAGGCACAAACUCAGCACCUGACACUUAAUGAUCUAGGUGUAUCGAGGUAAAAGCAGAAAAUGAUUAAGUUUUCUAGUGUACUAGGGAUUUGAGCACUCAAAACUAAUAACUUUCACUAAUUUCAGCAAAGCAAGCAGUAUGUAGAUCACUAGUUUACAAGGCAUUCACGAUUCAGUUCACAUAUUCACAUCAAGCAUCAUAUGUCAAAGGUAAAAUUCAGUGGGACGACAUUUAAGAAAUGGCUCAAGCAACCCAAAUAUCAAAUGAUUUCAGCAUGUAUCAAUGGAUGAUAUAUUAAGAUUCGGGUCAUGAAACAGCUCACCGGGUUUAUAUAGGAAGUAGCACUCGCUCAACGCUCUCUAUACUGCAGCUCUUCUCUUUUUGCUUCUCUAUCCCCAUGCCUGCUCCAGCUUCACUCCUCUUCGCGUGUGCCCAUUGCUUCUCCUCAUCACCAUGCCGUGAAUCCACCAGGAUCCCAGGGAAUGUCAUCUCGAACUCGGUCAACUCGCAGUAAAUGGUACACAAGCAUCAACCUGAAAGAACACUCAACAACCAAGCCAAUACAAGUGACAGAGAGAAUGCCCUCUAAGUCAUCGAUAGAGUACCCUAUCAUAUAAGUAUAUCUAUUGAGCAAGUCAGGAACAUGUAUCAACAACAAGUCACAUGGUGCAUAGGCAGUAUCCAUGAUAUGGCAUAUCUUGUCGAGAAAGCUGAGAUCAUACCUGAGAUAGUUAGGAAGAAGCUUCAGGACUACCUCCAUUGAAGAUACCAAGUGAGGUGUGGUAGUAGAAAUUUCCACCUGAUUCGUGUCAACAAGUGAAAUAGAGCUUGACUCCUUGACAUCUGAAUCCACCUCACCAUAAUCAACCAUGAAGCUCUCCAUCUCAGGCUCAAGUGUUGAAGAAUCAAUGCGGCUAACAUCAUCAAAGGCGAACUUCUCCAUAUCUGGCUCUAGCAGCACAUGAUCAAUAUCAACUAAAGGUGACUCCUCAAUAUCAAAAGCAACUAACUGCAGCUCCGGCUCAUCCAUGGAAGAAUCAUCACAAUGCAAAACUGAAUCUCCAACACUAGUAUCCAUGUGAUCUGUAGCGCGUGUGUCAACUAGAAUGGUGUCAUCAUCGUCAAAGAUAAUCCAUGCAAGCUCAAUCUUGUCACACUGAGAUAGAGGUUCAGGAUUUUGUGUAAGAAUUGGCGGCUGAGGUGUAGUGAUUUGUUGCAAGCAAACCAAUGAAUCAGAGGUGGGCUUAUCAUUGUACCGCUGAAGUUGGUGGAAAGUUAUGCUCUCAAUCAGCAGAAAAGCAUCAUCAAGUGUCUUGUUUGUAAUAGCUCCGCCCGCUGCCAUAUCGACGUAAGCUCGAGUGUCCCAAGUCAAUCCUCUAUAGAAUAUCUGCAGCUCUAACCAUCUCUCGAGCCCGUGGUUAGGACAUCUCCUGAAUAAAGCCUUGUAUCUCUCCCAAGCAUCAUACAAGCUCUCGCCUUCACGCUGAACGAAGCUGAGGAUCUCAUCUCGAAUUGCGGACUGCUUGUGUAGUGGGAAAUAUUUAUCCAAGAAAGCUUGUGAUAUCUCGUUCCAACUGAAUGAUCUUGAUGGCAAGGAUCGAUACCAAGCACGAGCAUCAUCCCGGAGAGAGAAUAAGAACAUCAUGCACUUGAUAGCAUCUUGAGGAACUCCAUGGUACUUGACUGUACCUGAAUACUCCAUGACUCGGUAUAAGUGCUCAUAGGGAUCCUCAGUGGGCAGUCCUCCAAACUGUUGUUGUUGAACCAAAGCAAUAAGACCAGGCUUCAUCUCAAAAUUCUCUGCCUCAAUAGUUGGCCAAACCGGUCCUGUGAUAUAACAUUGACUACUUGGCAUCCAAAGAUCACGACGCAAUGCCAUAUCUUAACCAAGUGUAACUAUAGAACAACCAGCAAAGAUUUAUGAUUCCCUACACACACUCAUAAACAGUAAACACUAGUCAGAAGGUUAGUAUCCUAAUAAGCCGAAGCAACAAUGGGGGAAAGUAGAGGAAAAACACUGAAGAUGAAAUACACGACGAAUUGAACAAGGAACUAAAGUAAAUCUAGUCUAUAGCCUAACACGGUCACUCGACGCUAGUCCCCGGCAACGGCGCCAAAAUUGAUCAAUUGUAGGUACAGUGGGGUUUUUACGCCCCAAACUAUAGAUGUCGUGUUCUCCACAGGGACUAGACGACGGUGACUAUGCUCUGGCUAAAGGUAGGUGACAGAAUUUAGAUGAUGAGAACAGAGAGUAAACCUAAACUAUCAAUGAUUGUCACCAAACAAAAUUGCGGAUAACCAACAAGGGAGAAUCAGAUUUUACUCGAUGUCUUUUUGGUAUUUUCAUCACACUUGAGAAUCUAAAACACUAACACAAAGGGGAAUAAUAUGACAAGGACACAUAUAUAACUAUCAUACAUGAACAAAGGGAAGAAACAAUACAAAGACAUAUGAAGAAUACUGUUUCACUAAACAAAGUAUAACAGGUCAAAUAUUUCUCAAAGUGACAAGAUAUCAACUAGUCAACACAAAGGACAUACUAAUCAAGCAUUGAUAUUGAACUUCGAAACUGAACCAAACAGUAGGAUAUUACACUUAACAAAUCUGAAUAUUACAUGUAAUAAAACAUCUCAAUGCUGAAUAUUACAAAGUACUGAACAAUAAACUUCUCAAAGUUACAGAAAUUUGAGAGAGAGAGAGAGAGAGAGAGAGAGCAGCAGCAGCAGCAGCAGGUAGGUUCAGAGAAGAAGAGUAGCAAGGGAAGUAGAGAGAGAUAGCAGCAGGGGGUUGGGAGCAGCAGCAGGAGACGCUGGAGAAGUAGAAAGGGGCGCUGGAGAGAGGAAGAGCAGCAACAGGUUGGGAAAGAAGCAGGGGCGUGAGGAGAGAAGCAGCAGCAGUUUUAUGGUUCAGAAAAGAGGCAAAGAAGCAGAGGAAGUGGGGAUAAGAGGGCAACAGCAGGAAGGGAAAGGGAGUAGCAGAGACGUGGAGAGGAGCAGCAGAUCGGCGCAAGAGGAGGAGCAAGAGCAGUGAGGCAAGGGAAGAAGAGCAGCAGCAUCGAGAUUCAGAGAAGAAGAAGGGGAGCAGAGGAAGUGGAGUAGCAGCAGUAGGGACGAGGGGGGAAGCAGCAGCAAUUGGAGGCGCGCGGGGGAUCAGACACCUCGUCUGGUCGGGCGCGCAAGUGAUGGUGGUGAAGGGGUGGCGCUGAUGGAUGGUGCAGCGGCGCGAGGUGGUGAUGGAGUGGAUGGAUGGUGGUGUAUGGAGGUGCUGGUGGAUGGAGGGCGCGGUGAAGGUGGAGGCGCGGUGGAGCGGUGGCGCGCCCCACGCCGGCCUGGCUGCGGCGGCAGCCGGUGGUGGAGAAGGUGGGGUGAGGGAGAUGGAGAUGCCAGGCCCGAUUUGGGAAUCAGGGCGUCUAGGGAUUUUGACCUCCUCUGAUCUGCCAUUUUUUCACUUUGGCCCUCCUGCUUCCUUUCUUCUCAAGAUAAUCCUCCAACAUUAGUUUGCCCCUGGAUACUUCUUUUCUUCUCGCUCGGGUCCCUCGUUCUCUCGUUCCAGCCCCAAGUCUCAUCGCGUUUGGCAAUCGACUGAAUCUUGAAGUUUAUAGUGCCUUCUCGCACUUUUCUGCAAAAGAAACAAUUCACUAGUCAACAUGCUCUUAUAUGAUUAUCAUUCAAAUAUUCAGUAUUUCAUAGCAAAAAUUAAUGUCAGAACUCAACAAAUGGUAUAUUUGUAUGCCAAAAUUAUAUAUAUGAAAU